AGCGUGUGUGUUUUUUU
rnacentral:miRNA from 1 species